AGGGAUGUAGCUCAGUGGUACAGCACCGGCCUGGCAAGCAUGAGGUCCUGAGUUUGAUUCCUGGUACCCCCU
rnacentral:tRNA from 1 species